UUUGGGGAAGGUUAUUCAUGCCUGUGUUUCAACAGUUUUAUAAGUUUUCAGUGGAAAAUCAAAACAAGUGAGUGGAGGAAUGGAAUUAAAUAUGGGUUUGUCCAUAAAUAAUUCUACACAGUGUACUUGUUCCCUCUUUAAUCAUGUCUGAAGUUGUGAAAUCUGUUCCUUCCAUUUUACUUCCCCAGCGUAAGCGAAGGAAGUAUUGUAAUCGAAUCUGUAGUUUUACGUUUUUUCGACCUUUCAUCACCGCUAGAGUACGAAGAAAUAGGUCUCCCGUUUGUCUGUCUGUCUACCGUCCCAAUUUUCAUUAGACAGAUAAUCUUGACAUUUAGAAAUUUUUUCUAAAUCAACUGAACGUAAGAAAUAAGCCUAUAUUUAUUUCAUCUUUAAAAAAAAUUCUUCCAGAUAAUUUUAUUACUCACAAAACAGAUGGAGUUCUAAUAAUUCCACGUUUGAAUUGUGGAAAUUUAUUAUCAGAUAUCAGAUAAGUUCGGAAUUAUUUUAUGAUAUUGUGCACCAGAUGAAAUCUUAAUGAGAUGACACCAGGGGCGGCUGGUCAGGGGAGGCAGGGUCGGUCACGCCGUACCAGUCAUUUUAAAAUACUUAGUAAGCGUUGAAAUUAGAAAAUAAAAAAAGAAAUAAAGUUUGAAUGUACAAAAUAAAGCAUUUGUUGCUAAUUUUAAAUGCUGAUAAACACGCUUUGCCGGCGAGAUUUCGGCACGCCGUAUCCAGGAAUGCAUUAUGCUCGAUGUUUCGACUUCGUAGCAGCUUACGGUUUCAUCGUUCCCUUUGUCUAGUACACUGUAGUAGACAAAGACCUGGCGGAACGUAUGUUGUGCCAGGUCCGGCGAAAUCCUCCUUCGCCGUACCCAGCAACGCGAAUUUAGUUUUUAAAACGCUUAAUAUUUAAGAUAGCUAACCAAAUUACAAAACAAUAACGGCUUCGAUGUUCUUCAGUGCAUACUAUUUUUUUUUUAAUAAUAAUAAUUGUCGAUUUAAUACAUUUUCCUGUGUAUGAA